UACGUAGGGUGCGAGCGUUGUCCGGAAUUAUUGGGCGUAAAGAGCUCGUAGGCGGUGUGUCGCGUCGGCCGUGAAAACCCGCGGCUUAACUGCGGGCUUGCGGUUGAUACGGGCGGGCUAGAGUUCGGUAGGGGAGACUGGAAUUCCUGGUGUAGCGGUGAAAUGCGCAGAUAUCAGGAGGAACACCGGUGGCGAAGGCGGGUCUCUGGGCCGAUACUGACGCUGAGGAGCGAAAGCGUGGGGAGCGAACAGG
rnacentral:rRNA from 1 species